UACGAAGGGGCUAGCGUUGUUCGGAUUUACUGGGCGUAAAGCGCACGUAGGCGGAUCGUUAAGUCGGGGUGAAAUCCUGGAGCUCAACUCCAGAACUGCCUUCGAUACUGGCGAUCUUGAGUCCGGAAGAGGUGAGUGGAACUCCUAGUGUAGAGGUGGAAUUCGUAGAUAUUCGCAAGAACACCAGUGGCGAAGGCGGCCAACUGGUCCGA
rnacentral:rRNA from 1 species